rnacentral:rRNA from 1 species
UAAGGAAUAUUGGUCAAUGGAGGCAACUCUGAACCAGCCAUGCCGCGUGCAGGAAGACGGCCCUCUGGGUUGUAAACUUCUUUUAUUCGGGAAUAAACCUAUAUACGUGUAGAUAGCUGACUGUACCGAAGGAAUAAGCAUCGGCUAACUCCGUGCCAGCAGCCGCGGUAAUACGGAGGAACCAAGCGUUAUCCGGAUUUAUUGGGGUUAAAGGGUGCGUAGGCGGCCUAUUAAGUCAGUGGUGAAAGACGGGAGCUCAACUAUCGAAGGGCACCUGAUACUGAUGGGCUUGAAUGAGCUAGAGGUAGGCGGAAUGUGACAAGUAGCGGUGAAAUGCAUAGAUAUGACACAGAACACCGAUGGCGAAGGCAGCUUACUAGGGUUUUAUUGACGCUGAGGCACGAAAGCUAGGGGAUCAAACA